GAUGAACGCUAGCGGCAGGCUUAAUACAUGCAAGGCGAAGGGGCAGCAAUGUCACUGUCGUACGGGUGCGUAACGCGUAUGCAACCUACCUUAAUCAGGGGGAUAGCCCGAAGAAAUUCGGAUUAACACCGCAUAAAAACACAGGAUAGCAUUAUCCAAUGUUCAAAUAUUUAUAGGAUUAAGAUGGGCAUGCGUGUCAU
rnacentral:rRNA from 1 species